rnacentral:pre_miRNA from 1 species
UCUUACAGAUGAGCAAAGAAAAUGGUUUCUUGAGAUGGAAUCUACUCCUGGUACAGAUGUUAUGAA